GACCGAACCUUAGAUGAUAUCAUGCAGUCGUACAAGAGAUAUCGAGGUAGACUUGCUCCCUGAUGUUAGCGGCGGACGGGUGAGUAACACGUGGGUAACCUGCCUGUAAGACUGGGAUAACUCCGGGAAACCGGGGCUAAUACCGGAUGCUUGUUUGAACCGCAUGGUUCAAACAUAAAAGGUGGCUUCGGCUACCACUUACAGAUGGACCCGCGGCGCAUUAGCUAGUUGGUGAGGUAAUGGCUCACCAAGGCAACGAUGCGUAGCCGACCUGAGAGGGUGAUCGGCCACACUGGGACUGAGACACGGCCCAGACUCCUACGGGAGGCAGCAGUAGGGAAUCUUCCGCAAUGGACGAAAGUCUGACGGAGCAACGCCGCGUGAGUGAUGAAGGUUUUCGGAUCGUAAAGCUCUGUUGUUAGGGAAGAACAAGUACCGUUCGAAUAGGGCGGUACCUUGACGGUACCUAACCAGAAAGCCACGGCUAACUACGUGCCAGCAGCCGCGGUAAUACGUAGGUGGCAAGCGUUGUCCGGGAAUUAUUGGGCGUAAAGGGCUCGCAGGCGGUUUCUUAAGUCUGAUGUGAAAGCCCCCGGCUCAACCGGGGAGGGUCAUUGGAAACUGGGGAACUUGAGUGCAGAAGAGGAGAGUGGAAUUCCACGUGUAGCGGUGAAAUGCGUAGAGAUGUGGAGGAACACCAGUGGCGAAGGCGACUCUCUGGUCUGUAACUGACGCUGAGGAGCGAAAGCGUGGGGAGCGAACAGGAUUAGAUACCCUGGUAGUCCACGCCGUAAACGAUGAGUGCUAAGUGUUAGGGGGGUUUCCGCCCCUUAGUGCUGCAGCUAACGCAUUAAGCACUCCGCCUGGGGGAGGUACGGGUCGCAAGGACUGAAAACUCAAAGGAAUUGACGGGGGGCCCGCACAAGCGUUGGAGCAUGUGGUUUAAUUCAAGCAACGCGAAGAACCUUACCAGGUCUUGCAUCCUCUGAAUCCUAGAGAUAGGACGUCCCCUUCGGGGGCAGAGUGACAGGUGGUGCAUGGUUGUCGUCAGCUCGUGUCGUGAGAUGUUGGGUUAAGUCCCGCAACGAGCGCAACCCUUGAUCUUAGUUGCCAGCAUUCAGUUGGGCACUCUAAGGUGACUGCCGGUGACAAACCGGAGGAAGGUGGGGAUGACGUCAAAUCAUCAUGCCCCUUAUGACCUGGGCUACACACGUGCUACAAUGGACAGAACAAAGGGCAGCGAAACCGCGAGGUUAAGCCAAUCCCACAAAUCUGUUCUCAGUUCGGAUCGCAGUCUGCAACUCGACUGCGUGAAGCUGGAAUCGCUAGUAAUCGCGGAUCAGCAUGCCGCGGUGAAUACGUUCCCGGGCCUUGUACACACCGCCCGUCACACCACGAGAGUUUGUAACACCCGAAGUCGGUAAUAGUAACCUCUUGGGAGCACAACGACCGUAGAGAUGUACGACUC
rnacentral:rRNA from 1 species